UUCACGAAUGAUGAGUGACACAGGGACUUAAUACCAAUUGUGCGCUUGUGA
rnacentral:snoRNA from 1 species